rnacentral:rRNA from 1 species
UACAGAGGGGGCAAGCGUUGUUCGGAAUUACUGGGCGUAAAGGGCGCGUAGGCGGCCUGCUAAGUCGAACGUGAAAUCCCCGGGCUCAACCCGGGAACUGCGUCCGAUACUGGAAGGCUUGAAUCCGGGAGAGGGAUGCGGAAUUCCAAGGUGUAGCGGUGAAAUGCGUAGAUAUCUGGAGGAACACCGGUGGCGAAGGCGGCAUCCUGGACCGGCAUUGACGCUGAGGCGCGAAAGCCAGGGGAGCAAACGGG